AAGGUUUCCAGAGUAAAGCUGAUCUGCUCUGGGUAAGUCGGGGCCUAAGGCGAGGCUGAGAGGCGUAGUCGAUGGACAACAGGUUGAAAUUCCUGUACCAUGUAUCAUCAGAACUGUGGGGACACAGAAGGACAACACAUCCCGGGAAUGGGAAUACCGGGGCAAGCGAGGUAGGAGUACGGUUGGCAAAUCCGCCGUGCAAUCCGAAGACGUGACGCGCAGCGAACUAAAGUAGCGAAGUGUGUGAUUCCGGCUGUCAAGAAAAGCCGCUAUUGUGUGAUACAUGCCCGUACCGUAAACCGACACAGGUAGAUGAGGAGAGAAUCCUAAGGCCGGCGGGAGAAGCAUUGUUAAGGAACUCGGCAAAAUGACCCCGUAACUUCGGGAGAAGGGGUGCCACAGAGAUGUGGCCGCAGAGAAUAGGCUCAAGCAACUGUUUAGCAAAAACACAGGUCUAUGCAAAACCGUAAGGUGAGGUAUAUGGGCUGACGCCUGCCCGGUGCUGGAAGGUUAAGAGGAGAGGUUAGCGCAAGCGAAGCUUUGAAUUUAAGCCCCAGUAAACGGCGGCCGUAACUAUAACGGUCCUAAGGUAGCGAAAUUCCUUGUCGGGUAAGUUCCGACCCGCACGAAAGGCGUAAUGAUUUGAGCGCUGUCUCAACAAUGCACCCGGUGAAAUUGAAAUACCAGUGAAGAUGCUGGUUACCUGCGCCAGGACGGAAAGACCCCAUGGAGCUUUACUCCAGUUUGAUACUGGGAUUCGGUAUUGCAUGUACAGGAUAGGUGGGAGGCUUUGAAACAUGGACGCCAGUCUGUGUGGAGCCAAUGUUGGGAUACCACCCUUGCGAUAUUGGGUUUCUAACCUGCGCCCGUGACCCGGGCGGGGGACAAUGUCAGGCGGGGAGUUUGACUGGGGCGGUCGCCUCCGAAAGGGUAUCGGAGGCGCUCAAAGGUUCCCUCAGGAUGGUUGGAAACCAUCCAAAGAGUGCAAAGGCAUAAGGGAGCUUGACUGCGACACCGACGGGUGGAGCAGGUACGAAAGUAGGACUUAGUGAUCCGGUGGUAUGAAAGUGGGAUUGCCAUCGCUCAACGGAUAAAAGCUACCCUGGGGAUAACAGGCUUAUCACUCCCAAGAGUUCACAUCGACGGAGUGGUUUGGCACCUCGAUGUCGGCUCAUCGCAUCCUGGGGCUGUAGCAGGUCCCAAGGGUUGGGCUGUUCGCCCAUUAAAGCGGUACGCGAGCUGGGUUCAGAACGUCGUGAGACAGUUCGGUCCCUAUC
rnacentral:rRNA from 1 species